rnacentral:rRNA from 1 species
CGCUAGUAAUCGCGAAUCAGAAUGUCGCGGUGAAUACGUUCCCGGGUCUUGUACACACCGCCCGUCACACCAUGGGAGUUGGUAACGCCCGAAGUCAGUGACCCAACCGCAAGGAGGGAGCUGCCGAAGGCGGGACCGGUAACUGGGGUGAAGUCGUAACAAGGUACC